UACAGAGGUCGCAAGCGUUAAUCGGAUUUACUGGGCGUAAAGCGUGCGCAGGCGGUUGUGCAAGACAGAUGUGAAAUCCCCGGGCUUAACCUGGGAAUUGCAUUUGUGACUGUACGGCUAGAGUGUGUCAGAGGGGGGUAGAAUUCCACGUGUAGCAGUGAAAUGCGUAGAGAUGUGGAGGAAUACCGAUGGCGAAGGCAGCCCCCUGGGAUAACACUGACGCUCAUGCACGAAAGCGUGGGGAGCAAACAGG
rnacentral:rRNA from 1 species